GUUAAGAUGGCAGAGCCUGGUAAUUGCGUAAAACUUAAACCUUUAUAAACAAAAGUUCAACUCCUCUCCUUGACA
rnacentral:tRNA from 1 species